rnacentral:rRNA from 1 species
GAUGAACGCUGGCGGCGCGCCUAAUACAUGCAAGUCGAGCGAACAGACGAGGAGCUUGCUCCUCUGACGUUAGCGGCGGACGGGUGAGUAACACGUGGAUAACCUACCUAUAAGACUGGGAUAACUUCGGGAAACCGGAGCUAAUACCGGAUAAUAUAUUGAACCGCAUGGUUCAAUAGUAAAAGACGGUUUUGCUGUCACUUAUAGAUGGAUCCGCGCCGCAUUAGCUAGUUGGUAAGGUAACGGCUUACCAAGGCAACGAUGCGUAGCCGACCUGAGAGGGUGAUCGGCCACACUGGAACUGAGACACGGUCCAGACUCCUACGGGAGGCAGCAGUAGGGAAUCUUCCGCAAUGGGCGAAAGCCUGACGGAGCAACGCCGCGUGAGUGAUGAAGGUCUUCGGAUCGUAAAACUCUGUUAUUAGGGAAGAACAAAUGUGUAAGUAACUAUGCACGUCUUGACGGUACCUAAUCAGAAAGCCACGGCUAACUACGUG